GACGAACGCUGGCGGCGUGCUUAACACAUGCAAGUCGAACGGAAAGGCCCUGCUUUUGUGGGGUGCUCGAGUGGCGAACGGGUGAGUAACACGUGAGUAACCUGCCCUUGACUUUGGGAUAACUUCAGGAAACUGGGGCUAAUACCGGAUAGGAGCUCCUGCUGCAUGGUGGGGGUUGGAAAGUUUCGGCGGUUGGUGAUUGACUCGCGGCUUAUCAGCUUGUUGGUGGGGUAGUGGCUUACCAAGGCUUUGACGGGUAGCCGGCCUGAGAGGGUGACCGGCCACAUUGGGACUGAGAUACGGCCCAGACUCCUACGGGAGGCAGCAGUGGGGAAUAUUGCACAAUGGGCGGAAGCCUGAUGCAGCAACGCCGCGUGCGGGAUGACGGCCUUCGGGUUGUAAACCGCUUUCGCCUGUGACGAAGCGUGAGUGACGGUAAUGGGUAAAGAAGCACCGGCUAACUACGUG
rnacentral:rRNA from 1 species